CCUACGGGAGGCAGCAGUGGGGGAUAUUGCACAAUGGGGGGAACCCUGAUGCAGCGACGCCGCGUGGGUGAAGAAGCGCUUCGGCGCGUAAAGCCCUGUCAGCAGGGAAGAAAACGACGGUACCUGAAGAAGAAGCCCCGGCUAACUACGUGCCAGCAGCCGCGGUAAUACUGAGGGGGCAAGCGUUAUCCGGAUUUACUGGGUGAAAGGGGGGCGGAGACGGCGGUGCAAGACGGGAGUGAAAGCCCGGGGCCAAACCCGGGGACUGCUCUUGAAACUGGAAAGCUGGAGUGCAGGAGGGGCAGGCGGAAUUCCUGGUGUAGCGGUGAAAUGCGUAGAUAUCAGGAGGAACACCGGUGGCGAAGGCGGCCUGCUGGACUGCAACUGACGUUGAGGCCCGAAAGCGUGGGGAGCAAACAGGAUUAGAUACCCUAGUAGUC
rnacentral:rRNA from 1 species